rnacentral:rRNA from 1 species
UUGUGACACAUGUACACCUUAUCGAUUAUCAAUUGUUGGGGGAGUCUGGUGCCCGCAGCCGCGCGCUUCCAGCUCCAAUCUAGUAUAUUAACGCUGUGGCAUUUAAAAAAAUCGCAUAUGAAAUGAAGGGUAGGUGUGUAAUGAAUACAUUCGUGUAUUUUGUUAUUCUCCACCCCCCCCUCUAAAUUCGAUGGGGAGAAUUAAUUUACUUGUUUUGUGUUUAGACGUCCACUGUGAGAAAAUUAGAGUGUUCAAAGCAGGCAUUUGUUUGUAUAUUUUAGCAUGAAAUAAUCAUGAAUGAUUUUCAUGAUGUUUUUGAUGGUUUUGUCUCAUGAGAAUAAGAUUAAAAGGGACAGGUGGGGGUAUUCAUAUUCAAUAUUCAGAGGUGAAAUUCUCGGAUUUAUGGAAGAUGAACAAGUGCGAAAGCAUUUACCAAGGAUGUUUUCUUUAAUCAAGAACGAAAGAUAGGGGAUCAAAGAGGAUUAUAUACCCUCCUUACUCAUAAAA